UACGUAGGGUCCGAGCGUUGUCCGGAAUUACUGGGCGUAAAGAGCUCGUAGGUGGUUUGUCGCGUUGUUCGUGAAAACUCACAGCUUAACUGUGGGCGUGCGGGCGAUACGGGCAGACUGGAGUACUGCAGGGGAGACUGGAAUUCCUGGUGUAGCGGUGGAAUGCGCAGACAUCAGGAGGAACACCGGUGGCGAAGGCGGGUCUCUGGGCAGUAACUGACGCUGAGGAGCGAAAGCGUGGGGAGCGAACAGG
rnacentral:rRNA from 1 species